GUUUUUGUGCCCUGGAUUCAACAAGAACAUGCUGGAAAGCCCAAAUAUUACAAACAACAAGAUGACUUUUGCUGCAGGGCUUGCAGUUUUCCGUUUCCAAGAUCCAGUGCAAUCACAAACAAGGGAGUCGCACAAUGAUUGGCUAAACAUGAGUGAUGUUAAAAUUGCCCACCAGAUUACAUUUCUGGCAUGGAUCCGUUGCUUACUGAUCGAAAUCAUUAUUACACUUCAUAGACUAAGAGGGACAGUGGCCCGCCAGACAUCUGCAUCUGAAGUUGCAGGAUGGAAUCCUACUGCAUUCCACCCCACUUUCAGCACUGGGUGCACCAAACUGGAAUCUGCCUAAUAUUACAUUCAAAUAAGGGCCAGUAAAAGCUGUCGAACAAAAGAAAUUAAAAGCUGAAAUCUAAGCUUCAAA